GAUGAACGCUGGCGGCGUGCCUAAUACAUGCGAGUCGAACGAAACUUCUUUAUCACCGAGUGCUUGCACUCACCGAUAAAGAGUUGAGUGGCGAACGGGUGAGUAACACGUGGGCAGCCUGCCCAAAAGAGGGGGAUAACACUUGGAAACAGGUGCUAAUACCGCAUAACCAUAGUUACCGCAUGGUAACUAUGUAAAAGGUGGCUAUACUACCGCUUUUGGAUGGGCCCGCGGCGCAUUAGCUAGUUGGUAGGGUAAAGGCUUACCAAGGCAAUGAUGCGUAGCCGAAUUGAGAGGUUGAUCGGCCACAUUGGGACUGAGACACGGCCCAAACUCCUACGGGAGGCAGCAGUAGGGAAUCUUCCACAAUGGGCGAAAGCCUGAUGGAGCAACGCCGCGUGGGUGAAGAAGGUCUUCGGAUCGUAAAACCCUGUUGUUAGAGAAGAAAGUGCGUGAGAGUAACUGUUCACGUUUCGACGGUAUCUAACCAGAAAGCCACGGCUAACUACGUG
rnacentral:rRNA from 1 species